UAGGGAAUAUUGGACAAUGGGGGCAACCCUGAUCCAGCCAUGCCGCGUGAGUGAAGAAGGCCCUCGGGUUGUAAAGCUCUUUUGUCCGGAAAGAAAAGCAUUCGGUGAAUACCCGGAUGUUCUGACGGUACCGGAAGAAUAAGCACCGGCUAACUUCGUGCCAGCAGCCGCGGUAAUACGAAGGGUGCAAGCGUUACUCGGAAUUACUGGGCGUAAAGCGUGCGUAGGUGGUUGUUUAAGUCUGAUGUGAAAGCCCUGGGCUCAACCUGGGAAUGGCAUUGGAAACUGGCAGCUAGAGUGCGGUAGAGGGUAGUGGAAUUCCCGGUGUAGCAGUGAAAUGCGUAGAGAUCGGGAGGAACAUCUGUGGCGAAGGCGACUGCCUGGACCAGCACUGACACUGAGGCACGAAAGCGUGGGGAGCAAACA
rnacentral:rRNA from 1 species